GUGGGGUAAUGGCCUACCAAGGCGACGACGGGUAGCCGACCUGAGAGGGUGACCGGCCACACUGGGACUGAGACACGGCCCAGACUCCUACGGGAGGCAGCAGUGGGGAAUAUUGCACAAUGGGCGAAAGCCUGAUGCAGCGACGCCGCGUGAGGGAUGACGGCCUUCGGGUUGUAAACCUCUUUCAGCAGGGACGAAGCGCAAGUGACGGUACCUGCAGAAGAAGCACCGGCUAACUACGUGCCAGCAGCCGCGGUAAUACGUAGGGUGCAAGCGUUGUCCGGAAUUACUGGGCGUAAAGAGUUCGUAGGCGGUUUGUCGCGUCGUUUGUGAAAACCAGCAGCUCAACUGCUGGCUUGCAGGCGAUACGGGCAGACUUGAGUACUGCAGGGGAGACUGGAAUUCCUGGUGUAGCGGUGAAAUGCGCAGAUAUCAGGAGGAACACCGGUGGCGAAGGCGGGUCUCUGGGCAGUAACUGACGCUGAGGAACGAAAGCGUGGGUAGCGAACAGGAUUAGAUACCCUGGUAGUCCACGCCGUAAACGGUGGGCGCUAGGUGUGGGUUCCUUCCACGGAAUCCGUGCCGUAGCUAACGCAUUAAGCG
rnacentral:rRNA from 3 species